GACGAACGCUGGCGGCGUGCUUAACACAUGCAAGUCGAACGGAAAGGCCCUGCUUUUGUGGGGUGCUCGAGUGGCGAACGGGUGAGUAACACGUGAGUAACCUGCCCUUGACUUUGGGAUAACUUCAGGAAACUGGGGCUAAUACCGGAUAGGAGCUCCUGCUGCAUGGUGGGGGUUGGAAAGUUUCGGCGGUUGGGGAUGGACUCGCGGCUUAUCAGCUUGUUGGGGGGGUAGGGGCUUACCAAGGCUUUGACGGGUAGCCGGCCUGAGAGGGUGACCGGCCACAUUGGGACUGCGAUACGGCCCAGACUCCUACGUGAGGCAGCAGUGGGGAAUAUUGCACAAUGGGCGGAAGCCUGAUGCAGCAACGCCGCGUGCGUGAUGACGUCCUUCGGGUUGUAAACCGCUUUCGCCUGUGACGAAGCGUGAGUGACGGUAAUGGGUAAAGAAGCACCGGCUAACUACGUG
rnacentral:rRNA from 1 species